rnacentral:rRNA from 1 species
UACGGAGGGGGCGAGCGUUAUUCGGAAUUAUUGGGCGUAAAGCGCGUGUAGGCGGCAUGGCAAGUCGGGUGUGAAAGCCCUCAGCUCAACUGAGGAAGUGCGCCCGAAACUGCUUUGCUUGAGUGCUGGAGAGGGUCGCGGAAUUCCCCAAGUAGAGGUGAAAUUCGUAGAUAUGGGGAGGAACACCGGUGGCGAAGGCGGCGACCUGGACAGUAACUGACGCUGAGACGCGAAAGCGUGGGUAGCAAACAGG